UGGGGAAUUUUGGACAAUGGGGGCAACCCUGAUCCAGCCAUGCCGCGUGAGUGAAGAAGGCCUUCGGGUUGUAAAGCUCUUUCGGCCGGGAAGAAAUCGUGCGGGCUAAUACCCUGUAUGGAUGACGGUACCGGAAUAAGAAGCACCGGCUAACUACGUGCCAGCAGCCGCGGUAAUACGUAGGGUGCGAGCGUUAAUCGGAAUUACUGGGCGUAAAGCGUGCGCAGGCGGUUUUGUAAGACAGGCGUGAAAUCCCCGGGCUCAACCUGGGAACUGCGCUUGUGACUGCAAGACUAGAGUACGGCAGAGGGGGGUGGAAUUCCACGUGUAGCAGUGAAAUGCGUAGAGAUGUGGAGGAACACCAAUGGCGAAGGCAGCCCCCUGGGUCGAUACUGACGCUCAUGCACGAAAGCGUGGGGAGCAAACAG
rnacentral:rRNA from 1 species